AGAUCUGUGUAGGAUAGGUGGGAGGCUUUGAAGCGGUGCCGCUAGGUGUCGUGGAGCCAACCUUGAAAUACCACCCUGAUCUGUUUGAGGUUCUAACCUUGGCCUGUUAUCCAGGUCGGGGACAGUGCAUGGUAGGCAGUUUGACUGGGGCGGUCUCCUCCCAAAGAGUAACGGAGGAGUACGAAGGUAUCCUCAGCACGGUCGGACAUCGUGCAAUGAGCGCAAAGGUAAAAG
rnacentral:rRNA from 1 species